rnacentral:rRNA from 1 species
CGGCGUGCUUAACACAUGCAAGUCGAACGAUGAAGCCGCUUCGGUGGUGGAUUAGUGGCGAACGGGUGAGUAACACGUGGGCAAUCUGCCCUGCACUCUGGGACAAGCCCUGGAAACGGGGUCUAAUACCGGAUAUGACACGGGAUCGCAUGGUCUCCGUGUGGAAAGCUCCGGCGGUGCAGGAUGAGCCCGCGGCCUAUCAGCUUGUUGGUGGGGUGAUGGCCUACCAAGGCGACGACGGGUAGCCGGCCUGAGAGGGCGACCGGCCACACUGGGACUGAGACACGGCCCAGACUCCUACGGGAGGCAGCAGUGGGGAAUAUUGCACAAUGGGCGCAAGCCUGAUGCAGCGACGCCGCGUGAGGGAUGACGGCCUUCGGGUUGUAAACCUCUUUCAGCAGGGAAGAAGCGCGAGUGACGGUACCUGCAGAAGAAGCACCGGCUAACUACGUG